rnacentral:rRNA from 1 species
GAUGAACGCUGGCGGCGUGCCUAAUACAUGCAAGUCGAACGCUGGAGAUCUAGCUUGCUAGAUCGAAGGAGCGGCGAACGGGUGAGUAAUACAUAAGCAACCUACCCACGAAGACUGGGAUAAUCUCUGGAAACGGGGACUAAUACCGGAUAGGUAAUCGGAAGGCAUCUUCUGGUUAUUAAAGGUUAAAAACACUGAUGGAUGGGCUUAUGGCGCAUUAGUUAGUUGGUGAGGUAACGGCCCACCAAGACGAUGAUGCGUAGCCGGCCUGAGAGGGUGAACGGCCACAUUGGGACUGAGACACGGCCCAGACUCCUACGGGAGGCAGCAGUAGGGAAUUUUCGGCAAUGGGGGCAACCCUGACCGAGCAACGCCGCGUGAGUGAAGACGGCCUUCGGGUUGUAAAGCUCUGUUGUAAGGGAAGAACGGUAGAUAGAGAAUAUCUAAGUGACGGUACCUUACCAGAAAGCCACGGCUAACUACGUG